AAAGGGUUUCUCUCCAGUAUGAAGUCUCUGAUGUUGAGUAAGAUGAGUGCUCUGGCUAAAUGCUUUACCACAUUUGCUGUGUUCAUGAGGUUUCUCUCCGGUAUAAAUUCAGUGAUGUUCAGUAAGGGAUGAGUUUUCAGGGAAGUCCUUCCCACAUUCACUGCAUGUAUAGGGUUUUUCUCCAGUGUGAAUCCUCUGGUGUUGUGUAAACACUGAGUGGGCACUGAAUGCUUUUCCACAUUCAUUAUAUUUAUAAAGCUUUUCCUCAGUAUGAAUUCUCUGGUGUUGGGUAAGGUGUGUACUUCAUCUGAAUGCCCUCCCACCAUCACUACACUUAACAGGGUUUCACUCCCAUGUGAAUUCUCUGAUGUUGUGUAAGAGAUGAGGUAUCAGUGAAGGACUUCCCAAUCAAUGCAUUCAUAGGGUUUCUCCCCACUGUGAAUUCUCUGAUGAUGAAUAAAGGAUGAGUAGUCACUUUCCUAUAUUCAUUACAUAUAUAAGGUUUCUCCCCAGUGUUGCUGUUCAGUGAUGCUGAACAGAUGAAUUUACAGUGAAUGCCUUCCUACAAAUUUUACAUUUACAGGGUUUUUCUCCAGUAUGAGUUCUCUGAUAUUCAGUAAGACAUGAAUUCUGGAUAAAUGCUUUUCCACAGUCAUCACACUUAUGAGGUUUCUCACCAGUAUGAAUUCUUUCAUGAUAAAGUUUGAAUGGUCAAAUUUUUUCCAAAGUCAUUACAAUUAUGCUUUCUUUUUAGAAGUUCUUUGACUUAAUUGGAGAUAAAUUUCAUUUGACAUUUUUCCCAAAUGGAUCAAGUAUAUAUAUGUAGUUUCUCUUCUGAACAAGUAAUAUACUUUGGGAUAAGUUUAUAUCUUAAAUCAAAACUUCUCUCAAAUUCAUUAAAAGUAUGCCCAUUUUCCUCACAAGAUAGUUUUCAUGGGCAACUAUUAUUUGCUGGAAAUCAUUGGUUUGGGCGAGAGAGUUUUUUUUUUUUUUUUUAAUUUUGCCUAUAGAGUUCUCCUUCUGCUUUUCUAUCUUGGCCUCAAAUUCACAGAUUCCUUCAAAUAAAUACCCUUUGGACACAUCUCUGAGCCUUUCAAUGACGACAGAGAUGUUGCUGCUUACUCAAAAGUAUAUUCUACUGAUCUCUUUGGGAUCUGCUCUGGUCUUCACAUCUGAGGGGAAUAAAAAAUUUAUAAAAACAUUUUCUGUCCUGGGGAACUGCAUUCAGGAUUAAAAAAAAAUAACCUUACUAAAAUUAGAAUGCAUGUUUACAGUCUUGAAAUCUUGGAAAAUAAUAAGCCAGUGGAGUAGAGAUAAAUAGAGGCAGAAGUGCUGGGGAAGAAGCUGGCCCAACAGGCAAAGGCUCUGAAAGCUGAAAAAAAUGUUUUAAAGAUGUAGAAGUUUAACCUUCUCACUUAAAGAUGAACACGUUUAGAACUAGAGAGGUUAUGUGAUUAACCUAAAGAUACAGAAGUUAUUAAUGAGAUGGUCAGAUAUAGAACUCAGGCUUUGUCCACUACACUACCACAAUAUCUGGAGACUGAACAGAGCUUAAAUGAGAGAAUGGACAGGUACCUCUUCAAAAUACAAAUAAUGAAGGGGAAGCAUAACAGUGUUAGAAAAUGCAAAAGAAUGAAUGCUGUCAGAGUGACAGCACCUGGAGAGAAACCAUUAAGGAAUGUAAAAAUAGCACCUGAAAAAGCAAUGUACAAAGGAAUAAUCACUGAGGAAGGUCUAAAUCUGAACAGAACGGCAGAAUUUAAGGCAUUAAGGAGAGCUCUUUGGAUAACAUUUUUGAGAUCACAUUCCUAAACAUUCACCCCUAAGUUGCACAUACAGAUUUAUCCCUCUCUGAAUAAGUGCCUCUAAAGACAUCAACAUCUCACUAGAUCUCCACAAUUCUUUCCUGGGCUGAGACUAAUUUCAGAAACUGAGAAUUCUUCUAAUUGGAAAAAAAAAUACACAACAAAAUAAAAACUGUCAUUACUUAAAUAUUUUGAAAUGUUUCAAGCACUAUUAGUUUUUAAAAGGAUAUAAUCUGAAUCUCCCAAAAGUCUGUGUUGAAGGACAAAGACUGACCUCCAGUCAACAGAAAAGACAAGAUACCAUACUAGAGAAGAUACAAAGUCUGAGGAGGUGUUAUCAAACUGGUUGAAAAUGGAAGGGCAGUAUGACAAGGUGAUCUAAGAUCACAGUUAACAUCUGGGUGGAAUCAUUAACUAGAGACAACAGCAUUUUCACUGAUCAUAAACAUAAGAGAUGUUCUGGUACCAAGAGAGGUAAGGCACUAGAGAAUUGUUCCUUUCUCUCUUUUUUUAACAAAUACAAACCUCUGAGAAACCCAAAUGAAUAGUCACUUAAAUUGUGGAAACCACUUUGCUUCCUUAAUUAAAGAUUUGCAUACUCAAUUUUCAGCAAGUGUUAAGAAAUCUUGGAAAGGUGUAGAUUAUAGUGUACGGAUAAAUGCAAGUCCUUCACAAGGCCUCCAAAAAAACAACUGCUUCAAGUCAAAUUUGGGGUUUCCAAGCAAACAUUUUGGCAAAGGCUCACCGUCUAGGGGUUGCAGGUUGCAGUCCCGAGACUAAAAUCUGGCCCACUGCACCAAGGCUGCUGUCACAACCAGGAAACUCUGGGUCCGUUCAAAUCGUUUAAGCACUUGACAUUCCGUCCCUUUCCACCUCUGCUCUUCAUGAGCCGAGCGGGUGCCCUGGGGCUCCGCGGCUUCUGAGAGACCUGAGGUCCAGCUCCCCGUCAAGCCCCAACGCCUAAUGGCCGCUGCUCCCGGUCGGAGUGGAGGUGGGACAGCAGGGCCUCAGGCCGCACCGACCUUGUGGAAAACCAAGCUCCAGCCUGCCCUCCUCCGUCCGUGGCUACUCGCGCGACUCUCCCAGACCGCUUGGCCUGAGGGUACAAAAGCCCUAGACAACUGAACUGCAACUCCCAGAAUGCACCGGGCCAAGUCGCUUCCGUUUCCGUUCUCAGGGACUUCCCUUUCCCAGAAGUCCCUGAGAAAUCUCCGCUUCUGCUUACUUCUGCCCCUGAGCUGAGCAGAGGGGGCGGUGUGGAGGCGUCUCAGCCAACCAGGGCCGCAAGCCAGAAUCUCCGUGGUAACCGCCGAAGCCCACUCACUUCGGCGAUGCUCCCAGGGGAGGCAGAAGCUUGCAUCCGAGGUUUGGGGUUCUGGCCGGCGUUCCGCUUCUGGGGAUUGGUGUGCGCUUGACUGCCUCUCCGCGCUCAAUCGAACAGGCCCUGGGAAGAAAAGACAGUGUAAAAACUUUACAGACGUUAGAGGACGCUGUGGUCCUUUGGAUACUGUUUCUAACAAAUUCAGAUACUUCAAAAGCCAUCCAGAGGUCGACUGAGUUUGUUUUUAAUCUGUCAAGAGCUCAGGCAGCAUGGAAUGCUGAGUGAAGAAUAUGUGGCGGAAGAGAUCCACAAAGUACUUCAGCCCCUGAAAACAGUCAAGUCCCCGUUUCAGGGCCUUUGCAGCAGGAACAGUGGGGAGUCCCGUCCUGCUGUUUUAUUUUCUCAUUUUCUCUCUCUGGCCAAACCUGCAAAGAGCAUGAUAGAACCCUGUUGUAACUGCGAGUGUUUGUUUUCUGAUUACAAAUGUGACAGUAUGUUCAUUAUGCAAAAUCUGAAAAAUGUAGAAAAAAUAUUAAUAGAAAAAAAUACCAGGAGGAAAUACUAUUUUCGGCUGCAGGGAUUAUGGGCUUAAAAAUAUUUUUUAUCUUAUGUUUUUCCAUAUUUCCCAAAUUUUCUGCCAUGAAUUAGAAUUACUGCUGUAUCAUAAAAAGUUUUUAAAGUACAUAGUUUGCAAUUUAUAGAAAGGUCAUAUGGCUUUCUGUAAUGUGAGUAGCAUUACAUCUACUCACAAAGUUAGGCAUAGGGCAUAGAAGCAGGUGAUACUUCAGAGCUGAUCACAAACUUCACAAAUAAAAAAACUGGUAUAAGAUACAGAAUAUGGUAUGCCAUCAGUGACACUAGCAAGAUGAAAAAAAUGCAAGAGUGUAGAGCAGAGUCAGUCAAUGCUGGCACUUUACUGAUGAGGAAAAGGGAAUGUGCUGAUUGCUAAGAUGCUUGGUGAGCUCAGAAGAAGUCAGCAAAAUCACUGUCCUGUUGAGCAAGCCCAAAUUGUCUACCCACAGGAUCAUGAGCAAAUAAAUGACUGCAUUAA